AGGACGAACGCUUGCGACGUGCCUAAGAAAUGCAAGUCGAACGGACAGUAGCAAUACUGUUAGUGGCGAACGGUCGCGUAACACGUGGGCAACCUGCCCUGAAGCGGGGGACAACAACUCGAAAGAGUUGCUAAUACCGCAUGUGGAUCGCUCUGGCAUCAGAGAUUAUCCAAGGCCUUCGGGCACUUCAGGAUGGGCCCGCGGCCUAUCAGCUUGUUGGUGAGGUAACGGCCCACCAAGGCUUCGACGGGUAACUGGUCUGAGAGGACGAUCAGCCGGAUUGGGACUGAGAUACGGCCCAAACUCCUACGGAGGCAGCAGUGGGGAAUAUUGGACAAUGGGCGCAAGCCUGAUCCAGCCAUGCCGCGUGAGUGAUGAAGGCCCUAGGGUUGUAAAGCUCUUUUGUGCGGGAAGAUAAUGACGGUACCGCAAGAAUAAGCCCGGCUAACUUCGUGCCAGCAGCCGC
rnacentral:rRNA from 1 species